CUCACCCCUCCUUGCCAAAUCCGCCUAUAUACCGCCGUCGUCAGCUUACCCUGCGAAGGAUCAAUAGUAAGCAAAACUGGCACAGCCCAAGACGUCAGGUCGAGGUGUAGCAAAUGGAGGGGGAAGAGAUGGGCUACAUUCCCUUUGUACAGGGCAUACGAAUGAUCACACUGAAACGUGUAUCUGAAGGAGGAUUUAGCAGUAAGCAGGAAGCAGAGAGUCCUACUGAAACCGGCCCUGAAGCGCGCACAUACCGCCCGUCACUCUCCCCGAACUCGUUCAUGCCCAUAACUAAUACCCUAUUUAAAAUAGAGGGGAGGCAAGUCGUAACAUGGUAAGUGUACCGGAAGGUGCACUUGGCAAAAC
rnacentral:rRNA from 1 species